rnacentral:lncRNA from 1 species
AAAUUAACAAAAAUCCUAAAGUUUGCAUACCCAAGUGGUCGGUCUAAACAUGCUCUUUGCGGGUAAGUGAUAAAAUAAAUAAAGUAAAACUAAGAAGAACAAUUCAGCAUAUGCUUCUUUGUUUAAUUUCUAAUUAUGAAGAACGACGUGAAUUAAAUACUAAUGAGCUCGAUUUUUCCCUGUCCCCCAAUUCAUCUUAACCCAUAUGCAUUCAAGCAAUUUCAAUGUCCAACCAAAAAUACUAGGCCGUUAUCACGUAAUUCAAUUAUAACGCAUGAAAAUUAACAACACACAUAACAAAUAGGAGGGGACGAGAUGGACCUGCAAAUUGGAGUUUAUAUCGAUAAGAAAUUUCAGUAGUUACACGAGCAAAUGAACCCAACUGCUACGACCAAAGUCGAAAUGGUAGUCAGACUCGAUUUGAAACCACGAACCACAAUUCAAACCCUCGACGGACAAUGACGACCUCAAACCGACCUCGGAUUAAACUAAAACCAACAAACAACAGAGUAACGACUACCAAACAAGGGCCUAAAGAAGAAGAAUGAUGUUCGGCUUCCAAACAAACGAAAAAUCAGCAACGGAAACAUCAAAAAGAGCUAAAAUUCCAGCAACAGCCUUGAUUUUAAACCCAAAAGAAACUGAAAACCCAGAACUAAUUUCAAACUAUUUUCAUUUUUUCUCGUUCCCAGAUUCUGUCCCGUUUUCCUGAUCCCUGCCUCUGUUUUUUUGAUAAUGUGCAUGUGUGUGUGUGUUAACGGGAGACGAGGGAACUUGGAGGAGUCGUUGGUCCGUUGAGGGUGUUCGCCGACGAUUUUGAAAGGUGAAGAAGGUGAGGUCGCAACUGAUUUGGUUCUGUUGUUGGGCGUGGAGGAUAUGGAGAUCAGGGGUCGUUGGUUGAAGAGUGACCGACGACGAGAAUGAUGGUGUGACGCUAAUUUCCGGCGGUUUUCUUUGGUAAGGGAGGUGUUCAGUUGAAUAUGGAGAUGGAGAGCAGGGUCGUUCGUUGGGAUUGCUCUCUUCUCGUUGGUGUUUUUGAAGUGAGGGAGCGGCAGAUUUUGAGAGGAGGGAGUGGGGUGAUGGCUGGAAAAUGGGGUUCUAGGGUUUUUUGUUGUAGUGUCUAGAUGAAGAAGAAGAAGAAGAAGGCAGCCAUGGGUGUCCUCUGAGUUCUGCGGCUGGUCUCUUCUUUUUUGGGUAAGGAUUGUUUUUAGGUUUUUUUUUAAAUGUGAGAUCAAGGGGUCUUUAGUUGGGGGUAUGGGCUUAUGGGUUAGAGAAGAAAGAAAUUAGGCUUGGCCAAAUUUUUGGGCCAACUUUUGUCUAAAGAAUGACCGUCUCUUGGACCUUCUUUUGAUUUUAAAACCAAAACCAUGUCAUCUUAAAAUUAAUUUGGUUUUUGUUCUUAGAAAAGAACAAAUUAAAAAUACAACUAUUACUAAUUUAUGCUAGUUAAGUAAAUAAUUAUAAUGCAAAAAUACUAAAGUUACACAUUGAGGUAACAAAUAAAAUUAUUUUUGUAUUUUUAAAUUUUAUAAAAGGUAAAUAAAUUGAAAGUAACAAGAUAAAAUAUCAAUUACCUAAAAAAAGAAAAUAUUUUUUUUGUAAUUUUUAUUUUGUGACAAAUGAAGUAAAAGAGUCACAGCUAAUUGAAAUAGCGAUAUUAGGCCUAAACUAAAUAUUUAAAUACUAAAAUAUGUAAUAUCUUGGGGAGGGUCAAAAAUCACAUGUCUACACUUACUAAGUACCGUUGUGGUGUACUCAUGCCCCUUCUACGCAUGUUUUUCAUGUGCAGAUCCAGGUACUACGACUCAGUCCUAUCACCCUUGAGGCGAGGCGACUGCUCCGGCGACUUCGAGGUAUAUCUGCCGCGUCCGCAAACCGAGGAGUCCCUUUCUAUUCUAGCUUUUAAACAUUUACCCUUCUGUAUUUCUUUUCCUUGUUAGAUGUUCUAGAGUUAGAGUACUGUGUAGUGAUCCUUAGCUUGUGAUUCAUGAAUUUCUGGGUCUUGGAAGUAUGUAUUGGUUUGAGCGUUAAAUAUUGUGUAUGCCGAACGACACUUUUAAAUACUGUUUUAUCAUUCUUCAUUCUGUUUUAAUUUGUUUUUAUUCCGUACUUGGUUUAUCUUCCGCAAUUUAGGUUUACUUAGUCGUAGAAGACUAGGUGCCAUCAUGAUGAUUCACGAAGAGUGAACCGGGGUUGUGACAACCAAUAUACUGCUUAUUCCGUUGGAUUUCUCCUUAUCUCAUUUAACUUUGUUAAAAAAAAAAGUUAAUAAAAGUUAGAUAAAUUUGGCGAGGUAAAAGGAUUAGUCCUAGAAAAUCUGGAGUCAUCUACAAAAUAUAUCCAUAAUCUUUCGUAUUCCAGAUUCAGUUUAUUUUAUCUCAAUCCAAAGAACUACCUUAUAUUCUUACUCUUGUCACCUUUUAUAUAUUCCUAUAUUCACUUGUUCCUUUAUUUUAGAGCCCGUUUGGCUUAGCUGAUUUAUAGUAGGUGAUAAACAUUAAGUGCUGAAAAUUAUUUUUAAGUGCUAAAGCUGAUUUAAAAAAUAAGCAGUUACGUGCUUGGAUAAAAGUGCUGAAAUUAAUAAUAAGCAAGAACUGAGUGUACGAAGAGUUUGUUUUAAAAAUAAGUAUUUUAGGGAUAGAAUAUUAAAUAUUUUGGUCAAACCUAAAGUGCUUAUAAGCUGAAAUUUGAUAAGUUGGGGGAGACCAACUUAUGACUUUUGACUUAUUUUUGGCUUAUAAGCACUUAACUUAUAAGCACUUUUAAUUUUACCAAACGCAUAGAUAAGCCAAAAAGUGCUUAUAAGCCAAUUUAACAAGCUUAUAACCUUAGCCAAACACCCUC